rnacentral:rRNA from 1 species
AGAGUUUGAUCAUGGCUCAGAACGAACGCUGGCGGCAUGCCUAACACAUGCAAGUCGAACGUGAUCCGGGCUUCGGCCUGGUGAAAGUGGCAGACGGGUGAGUAACGCGUGGGAACCUGCCCGAUGGUAGGGAAUAACUGCGGGAAACUGCAGCUAAUACCCUAUGACCCCUGAGGGGGAAAGAUUUAUCGCCAUCGGAGGGGCCCGCGUCGGAUUAGGUAGUUGGUGGGGUAACGGCCUACCAAGCCUUCGAUCCGUAGCUGGUCUGAGAGGAUGAUCAGCCACACUGGGGCUGAGAUACGGCCCAGACUCCUACGGGAGGCAGCAGUGGGGAAUAUUGGACAAUGGGGGCAACCCUGAUCCAGCAAUGCCGCGUGGGUGAUGAAGGCCUUCGGGUUGUAAAGCCCUUUCGGCGGGGAAGAUGAUGACGGUACCCGCAGAAGAAGCCCCGGCUAACUUCGUGCCAGCAGCCGCGGUAAUACGAAGGGGGCUAGCGUUGUUCGGAAUUACUGGGCGUAAAGGGCGCGUAGGCUGUGCUGUAAGUCAGGCGUGAAAGGCCCGGGCUCAACCUGGGAACUGCGCUUGAUACUGCGGCGCUUGAAGACGGGAGAGGAUGGCGGAAUUCCCAGUGUAGAGGUGAAAUUCGUAGAUAUUGGGAAGAACACCGGUGGCGAAGGCGGCCAUCUGGCCCGUUAUUGACGCUGAGGCGCGAAAGCGUGGGGAGCAAACAGGAUUAGAUACCCCCGUAGUCC